rnacentral:lncRNA from 1 species
GGAGGUAUUCGAAUUGCGCUGUGGAGCCUCGGAAUUGGGCUGUGCUGCGCCUGAAUUGGCCUGUCCGGGUGUCGAAUUGGCCUGUCCGGGUGCCGAAUUGGCCUAACAGGGUAUUGAAUUAGCCUGACAGGGUAUCGAAUUGACCUGUUCGGGGUGUCAAAUUGGCCUGACAGGGUAUCGAAUUAGCCUGACAGGGUGUCGAAUUGGCUGUCAAGUUGGCAGGAUUGGCCGGGGCUGGCAUCCAAAAGCACAUGACUUUUAAGGAAUUUACAGAAAAACUUUGCAAGAGGACCGCUUACAAGUGCCUCAUGUGUGUAUUAGAUUCGAUCCCACGACAUGGAGUGGAAAAACUUGCACACCUGGUUACCGUACUCUGGCACUACUACUACUACCGGAGGCAAGCACUCAGGGCCACGACUGCAUUACCCAGUCAAGUCAGCUGCCGAGGUCCCACUGUUUUCCCACCACACUUUAUCGACAGUCCGUCCAGUUUAUCCCACAACACUCGUAUGCAUGAAUAGGUUCGGGUGGAAACAAUGACAAAUCUCUGAUAAACCGCUAAACUCAGUACCACGAGCUACAUUGAAAACAAAUGAAAAUGCAGAUGUCUGCCGAGAAGAAUAUGUUCGCCAUAUGCAAUCUAUGCCUUAAUCCAUCGAGCUCUCCGUUGGGCGGGGCAUGGCCCAUGAAGUCGCCCCCGGUACUCCGCCCAUACAACCAAACACUGACACAAAACGUUGCACGUCUGGGCCCAUGUAAACCACGACACUUCCGUGUGGAUUGGCUACCCGCCAAACGUUGGCGCAGAAAACAGACAGGCCAUUGUAGUAUGGCAUCAAACCACGCAUAACCCACAGCGGCUUUCAGCAGCAGUACUGCUUGGUGAAUGUGACCAGCCGUGUACUCUGUUGCGCAUCUCUGGAAAAACAGGCUCUGAUAGCUUGCACCACCCUGCACCCCAAAAGGCGGGUUGACAAACACAUUGCCCAUCCACGCGUUGCACUCCAACAGACCAUCGGAUUCCAUAUCGUAAUACACUGUCGCCCCAACACGUGUGUUAGCAGCCGCGGACAAGCAUGGGUCCAGGUCGAUCCUGCCAGGAGUGAACACCUCGCGCACCAGCUUUAUGAUACUCAGUGGGGUGAACCACUCCGGACUCUCACUGGAGAGAAACAGGCGCACAUUCCCACCCCCUCCGCUUCGAACCAUAUGGACUCCCUCACCAGACUCGCUAUCGCUGAUAUCCAUGUCGCCACGUCGGGGCUGACGAUGCGCUGUGCCUCCGGAUCCAUGUUGGGACCAACGGUGCGCGCUCCAGGUGCAGGAGUGGGUGAAGUGCGCGGUAAGAUGCGGCGCCCACUGUCUACGGCAUUGGGCUGCUGCUCUCGCCGACGUGUGCGCCUGUGCUGAAACUGGCUGUAGAGGCGCUGAUACUCAUCCUCUGCCGCCUCGUCCGACAUGCCAUAUAGAUGCAUGCGCAUGUCAGGUGGCCAGGCACAGCUGACGUCUCGCACUCCAGGUGGUGGCAUGGGCCGCGCGACAAGGCCACCCUGCUGGGUGAGCCGCUGUGUCUCUUGCUUGCACGCCAUCAUGUGCUGGCGUGUUUUGACGUGGUUGAUAAUAUUCUCGAUGUUGCCAGUCUUAGCACCGANNNNNNNNNNNNNNNNNNNNNNNNNNNNNNNNNNNNNNNNNNNNNNNNNNCGAAUUGGCUGUCAGUUGGCAGGAUUGGCCGGGGCUGGCAUCCAAAAGCACAUGACUUUUAAGGAAUUUACAGAAAAACUUUGCAAGAGGACCGCUUACAAGUGCCUCAUGUGUGUAUUAGAUUCGAUCCCACGACAUGGAGUGGAAAAACUUGCACACCUGGUUACCGUACUCUGGCACUACUACUACUACCGGAGGCAAGCACUCAGGGCCACGACUGCAUUACCCAGUCAAGUCAGCUGCCGAGGUCCCACUGUUUUCCCACCACACUUUAUCGACAGUCCGUCCAGUUUAUCCCACAACACUCGUAUGCAUGAAUAGGUUCGGGUGGAAACAAUGACAAAUCUCUGAUAAACCGCUAAACUCAGUACCACGAGCUACAUUGAAAACAAAUGAAAAUGCAGAUGUCUGCCGAGAAGAAUAUGUUCGCCAUAUGCAAUCUAUGCCUUAAUCCAUCGAGCUCUCCGUUGGGCGGGGCAUGGCCCAUGAAGUCGCCCCCGGUACUCCGCCCAUACAACCAAACACUGACACAAAACGUUGCACGUCUGGGCCCAUGUAAACCACGACACUUCCGUGUGGAUUGGCUACCCGCCAAACGUUGGCGCAGAAAACAGACAGGCCAUUGUAGUAUGGCAUCAAACCACGCAUAACCCACAGCGGCUUUCAGCAGCAGUACUGCUUGGUGAAUGUGACCAGCCGUGUACUCUGUUGCGCAUCUCUGGAAAAACAGGCUCUGAUAGCUUGCACCACCCUGCACCCCAAAAGGCGGGUUGACAAACACAUUGCCCAUCCACGCGUUGCACUCCAACAGACCAUCGGAUUCCAUAUCGUAAUACACUGUCGCCCCAACACGUGUGUUAGCAGCCGCGGACAAGCAUGGGUCCAGGUCGAUCCUGCCAGGAGUGAACACCUCGCGCACCAGCUUUAUGAUACUCAGUGGGGUGAACCACUCCGGACUCUCACUGGAGAGAAACAGGCGCACAUUCCCACCCCCUCCGCUUCGAACCAUAUGGACUCCCUCACCAG